UACGUAGGUGGCAAGCGUUGUCCGGAUUUACUGGGUGUAAAGGGCGAGUAGGCGGAUCUGCAAGUCAGAUGUGAAAUCCCGGGGCUCAACCCCGGAACUGCAUUUGAAACUGUAGACCUUGAGUGAUGGAGAGGCAGGCGGAAUUCCCGGUGUAGCGGUGGAAUGCGUAGAUAUUAGGAGGAACACCAGUGGCGAAGGCGGCUUGCUGGACGACAACUGACGCUGAGGCGCGAAAGCGUGGGGAGCAAACAGG
rnacentral:rRNA from 1 species